GCCCCUCCCCCCGGCCCCUCCCCGGGCUCGGGCGGGCGCUGAGGGAGGCGCUGCAGAGAGCGGGGCAGGCGCCGGGAGAGGACGAGGGGCUGCGGGAGCUGCUGAGGCGGCGCAGGGACAGUCUCGAGGGUUCCUGGAAGUAGCUCCUGUUCAACCGGCCCGUGCCCCCCCGAUCCAGGACGGGCCCCACAGGUCAUGCAGACUAUCCAAGAGCAGCCCUGCCUUCAGCAGGCAGAUCCAUCCUGGAUGCCCGGCUGGACAGAGCGCUGUCAGCCGGGCAAAGAGUUCCUGAGACAGGAAACAAUGAACAAUCCUUGGAGCCUCUGAAACCGUCUGCUGCAAUCUCUCAUCGGCGGCUUUGGGAAAACCAGGAUUUGAACCACUGCAUGUCCUCCUGAGGUGAUCUCGGGGCUAAGGAGAAACCUCGGGCUGUGACAUUUGUGCACCUCAAAUGUCCUUUUCAGACCCCAAAUUCUCCUUUUCAUACCCCAAAUCUUGUGCGUCACAAAUUCCUUUUCCUACCCCAAAAUCUCCUUUUCCAACCCCAAAUCCCCUUUUCCCACCCCAAAUCCCCUUUACCCAUCUAAAAUCUCCUUUUCCAGCCUCAAAUCCCCUUUUUCCACCCAAAAUCUCCUUUUUCUACCCCUAAUCCUUUCCUGUCCACCCAAAAUCCCCUUUUCCCACCUCAAAUCGCUUUUCCCACCCAAAUCUCCUUUUUCAAUCCCAAAUCCCCUUUUUCCACCGAAAUCCUGACCUCAAAUCCUUAAUCCCCACUCUAAACCCUUUUUUCCUCCCCCAAAUCUCCUUUUCCAUCCCAAAAUCUCAUUUUUCCAUCCCAAAUCCUUCCCCUUUUACCCCAAAAUCUCCUUUUUCCACUGCAAAUCCCCUUUUUAGGGUUCCUCAGGGGUUUUGGGGUUUUUUCCAGCAUUGUACCCAGGGUCUCUGCAGACAUUGCAUCUGGUGCUGCCCCCACCCCAAAUAAAUCCCAGAUCAACAGCAAUUAAAUCCCAAACCAGUCCCAAAUACCCUUUUUGGGGUUCCCCAGGAUUUUUUGGUUUUUCCCACCCCCAGCAUUGUACCCAGGGUCUCUCUGCAGACAUUGCAUCUGGACCUGCCCCCACCCCAAAAUAAAUCCCAAACCGACCCCAAAUCAAUCCCAAACCAACCCUAAAUCAAUCCCAAACCAACCCCAAAUAAACCCCAAAUGA